UGCACCAAAUACAUCUGGCAUUGUGCAAGUUUUGCAGACUACAAAACAAUGACGUGCGUUAGAAGUUAGAACUUGGAUUCAAAACGAGAAUAAUAAUAACAAUGCACGUUGCAAAAUGCUAUAAAUGUAAUUGAUGGCUAGCGCUAUGAGCCCUGUUUAUAAAGAUAAAUAGUUGGAUUUAGUGUUACUUACCUUUGAAAUGAUUCUGUAGUUAGGAUAAAUGAGCACCAGCAGAUUCAUUUUAAGAUAUUGUGUUGCAGUAAGAUGGUUCUGGUUUCACACUUUCACAGUAGCUGUAACUAUAUGUUGGUGUUUUUUUUUACAGCAUAGGCCAGUAACAUUUAACAAAACACAACCAGAAGGUUCUGAGGAAUUCCAUCAUUCAGAAUCAUGUUUGCCGUGGUGCGUGUAGCUUUAUCCAAUCAGCAUGUAACCUCAAAUUUCUCAGUGAGCCACAGCCCACAAGCAAGCAAACUAAUAACAAUGAGUACAUGUUUUUUUUCAACUACUUAAAUUUUUAUCUUUUUUUAGAAUUCCAGGUCAGAAUUAUAAUAACUCUUACCUUGAUUGGUUAAAAAUUGUAAUUAUUCUGUGAAAGGGAAGAAUAAUGUUGAAGAAUUACGAUUUGAACAAUGUGGUGCCAUUUGAAAUGUGCAAUAGCCAAUAGGGCAACUGGACUGGUCAAGAGCAACAAAAAAAUUAUUUAGUUGUGGGAACAACUGGUGCCGUUUGUAUACGUUGGCGCUUUUAGUUUUUUUUUUUUUAAUUGUUGGAUCGAUAUUACGCGCUCUGAUAUGAAUUGUGCCUCAAAAAGUAUGUAUGCGAUGUGAAAAAAAAAACAACACAAAAGAAAUAGCCAUCCGAAAAUGGGCGUGGGUAUAUUCCCACUGGUCCCUCGUACGAAUUUGUGGGCGGGUGGAAUCGGGGAAAGUCGAAGGGUUUAGUUAAAUGUAACCUAUGUCGAAACACUCCCACUCUGGGUUUAUUACCGGUAGCUGAGCAUGUUCAUUGUCUUGAACUACGCUAGAAUGUUAAAAGUUAGAAUAAAGAUCGCAUUCUGCAUAUCACAUUCUUCAGUCGAUCGAUCUAUAUUCAAUUCAUGUAUAUACUGCACAUGUAUAUAAAUUAGUAAAACAUUUAA